GGACCAAGUCAACGGUCCGCCGGCCAAACUCCGCCGUGUCGCUUAGUUCAACUGCUUCGUUCUCUCCGCGCUCCGGUCUCCACACUUCCACAGUCCAGGCUCGACAGGCCGGGAGAGCUCCAAUUCCCUCUCGUCUCGUCCCCGGCGCAGGCUGUCCCGCGAUCCAAGCGCGGCGCUCAUGGCGUUCGAGAAGAUCGAGGUCGCCAACCCCAUCGUCGAGAUGGACGGUGAUGAAAUGACUCGAGUUAUAUGGAAAUGGAUCAAAGCUAAGCUUAUCUUCCCUUUCCUGGACUUGGACAUAAAAUACUUUGACUUAGGUCUACCUAAUCGUGAUGCUACUGGUGACAAAGUAACAAUAGAAAGUGCAGAAGCUACCCUAAAGUAUAAUGUGGCAAUCAAAUGCGCAACUGUCACCCCAGAUGAAGGACGAGUUAAAGAGUUUAAUUUAAAAGCUAUGUGGAGGAGUCCAAAUGGGACGAUAAGGAACAUCUUGAAUGGAACUGUUUUCCGUGAACCAAUCAUCUGCAAGAAUGUUCCUCGGCUAGUGCCUGGAUGGACCAAACCCAUAUGCAUUGGGAGGCAUGCUUUUGGUGAUCAAUACCGAGCAACAGAUACAGUUAUCAGAGGGCCAGGAAAGCUUAAGUUAAUAUUUGAUGGCAUAGACGAACAAAUAGAGUUGGAUGUGUUCAACUUUAGUGGUGCUGGUGGAGUAGCAUUGUCUAUGUAUAACACUGAUGAGUCUAUUCGGGCAUUUGCUGAAGCCUCUAUGAACGUGGCUUACCAGAAAAGAUGGCCACUAUAUCUUAGUACCAAGAACACUAUCCUCAAAAAAUACGACGGAAGGUUUAAAGACAUAUUCCAAGAAAACUAUGAAGCAAAAUGGAGAGGCAAGUUUGAGGAUGCAGGAAUAUGGUAUGAACAUCGGCUGAUCGAUGAUAUGGUAGCGUAUGCCCUUAAGAGUGAUGGUGGCUAUGUUUGGGCUUGCAAGAAUUAUGAUGGAGAUGUGCAGAGCGAUCUAAUUGCUCAAGGUUUUGGAUCACUAGGUCUCAUGACAUCUGUUCUGGUCUGCCCUGAUGGUAGAACAAUUGAAGCUGAAGCUGCACAUGGUACAGUCACACGACAUUAUAGAGUCCACCAAAAAGGAGGCGAAACUAGUACAAACAGCAUUGCUUCAAUCUUUGCAUGGUCGACUGGACUAGCACAUAGGGCAAAGCUCGAUGACAACAAAAGACUGUUGGAUUUCACACAAAAACUUGAAGCUGCUUGUGUUGGGACAGUAGAGUCUGGGAAGAUGACAAAGGAUCUAGCUCUUCUCAUACAUGGGCCCAAUGUUACACGAGAUAAGUAUCUGAACACAGUAGAGUUCAUUGAUGCGGUUGCUGAGGAGUUGAGGACAAGAUUGUCAGUAAAAUCAAAGUUGUGAAGAUACUACUAAAGAACGAUAGGACAAGGACAAGGGAUUGUUUGGAUCCCACAAUACAAGUUUCCCCUCAUUACAGGGCAACCUGAAGCCGUUGCAGCAGCAGGGGCGCUCAAAAAGCUCGAGAGGAAGUUGCCACGCUCGUAGAAGUACUCUGCCUUCUGAAUCUUCACAUCCUCAUCAACCUGUCGUCGCAUUUUUUAGUAGAGAACCAUAUCAGUGUGCACCCUGUUAUUGUAAAGUUUGAGCAACUCUCAACUGUUCAGAGAUGAUAUACCAUAGUGUCAUA